rnacentral:lncRNA from 1 species
AGGAUGUUGGGGCUAGUGGUGGUGUGUGAAGAACAAGGAAUCAAGUGGAGGGGCUGUCAUGAACAGAGGCUGCAGGAUUUGUUCUUUCUUCAAAGAUUUUCCAUGGACUCUCCUCAUCAGUUUGGUAUUCUAAGUGAGCGUGGACUCUCCCCGUGAGCAAAGUGCCACAAUGUCGAUCGCAAGCUUUGAAGACAGGUGAACCUGAAUUUGACCUUACCGGGCAGUAGUUGUUAACCUUAGUCUAUAAAUAUCCCAAUCCUCAUAUUUUUCAUCUAUAAAAUGGGAAUACUAAUACCUACUUUAUAAGGCUGCUGUGAAGUUUACAAAAGAUAAUGCCUGUACAGUGUCUGCCAACCAGUAAGUGCUUGAUAAAUGCAUUUUGUAACUCCCACUUGAAGAACAAAAAGGGACAGAUCACAAGUGAAAAAAGCCUUCUACCCAGGCUUUAUUGAUUAAGUCAUUUAUUCUAUAAAUAUUCACUUAAGACCUCCUCUCCUGUAUCAUGUUCUGUGUUGGGCUGCGGGGUUACAAACAUGAAAGGCACCGUCUGGUUGAAUGAGAAGAUGCCUACCUCAUGACAUCCCCUCAGUUCCAAGCCCCAGAGCAGGAGUACAGCCCUGGGGAGGCUCUGUUGAAGAAUUAGAGUUGAAAACAAGCUGGACAGACCCUGAGCCCAGGCACAGCCCCUCUUCCAUUCAACACAGCAACUGCUCGGCUCUGCCCAGCAAGUAGGAGAAACAGGUUUAUAGAAAUGAACUCAGCCCCAUGUAGCGUGGCUCCAUCUGGUUGGAGGCAUUGAAGCUAGGAACUUGUUUAUUCCUCAGCCUCUAUCCGCCUCCCCUGCCAUCCCUCUACCGGCUCCCACAUUUUACUUUAAAAAAAAAAAAACAGAUUUCUGCCCAGAUUCACAGAAAGAGGAUAAACGUUCCAGAAAGCCUGUGUUCCUACUCUGCUGGACAAACUGACUGCACUAAAAACUCUCUCCAAACAUGGCUUCUCAAACUACAGACCAGAAAUCUAAGUUCAGGUAUUAGGUAUUUCACUAGGCUAGCCAGAGACAGGUGACAGCUCUGCCUUUCAUCAGACAGCUGAUUUGGGAGCCAUUCUUUUGACCCUUCAGAAAAUAUUCAGUGGGCAACUGAUAUCUGCCAGUCCUAGUACGUGGACAACUUACCUGAGUUAUUGAUCCUUUGCUUGAACUUUAAACAAUCUUCUCUUCACUGUAUUAUUAUCACCUGUUUAUUUGGCUGUCAUUCAUUAGACUAUGAGCUCUUUGAAGUCAAGGGCUCUGUCUUUUCAUCUCUGUACCCUAAAUGCCAUACAGCCUGGUACACAGUAGUCAAUAAAUAUCCAUGGGGGAGAGACAGACACACAAA